rnacentral:rRNA from 1 species
CAAUAGCGUAUAUUUAAGUUGCUGCAGUUAAAAAGCUCGUAGUUGGAUUUCGGGUGGGAAUGGCCGGUCCGCCGUUUCGGUGUGCACUUGCUACGCCCACCUUGCUGCCGGGGACGUGCUCUUGAGUUCACGCUCGGGACACGGAGUCGGCGAGGUUACUUUGAGUAAAUUAGAGUGUUCAAAGAAGGCCUACGCUCUGAAUACAUUAGCAUGGAAUAACACGAUAGGACUCUGGCCUAUCUUGUUGGUCUGUAGGACCGGAGUAAUGAUUAAGAGGGACAGUCGGGGGCAUUCGUAUUUCAUUGUCAGAGGUGAAAUUCUUGGAUUUAUGAAAGACGAACUACUGCGAAAGCAUUUGCCAAGGAUGUUUUCAUUAA